UACGUAGGUGGCAAGCGUUGUCCGGAAUUAUUGGGCGUAAAGCGCGCGCAGGCGGUCCUUUAAGUCUGAUGUGAAAGCCCACGGCUCAACCGUGGAGGGUCAUUGGAAACUGGGGGACUUGAGUGCAGAAGAGGAGAGUGGAAUUCCACGUGUAGCGGUGAAAUGCGUAGAGAUGUGGAGGAACACCAGUGGCGAAGGCGACUCUCUGGUCUGUAACUGACGCUGAGGCGCGAAAGUGUGGGGAGCGAACAGG
rnacentral:rRNA from 1 species